AUUGAACGCUGGCGGCAGGCUUAACACAUGCAAGUCGAGCGGAGAUGAGAUGCUCGCACUGUAUCUUAGCGGCGGACGGGUGAGUAAUGCUUAGGAAUCUGCCUAUUAGUGGGGGACAACAUGCGGAAAGGAAUGCUAAUACCGCAUACGUCCUACGGGGGAAAGCAGGGGAUCUUCGGACCUGGCGCUAACAGAUGAGCCUAGGUCGGAUUAGCUAGUUGGUGGGGUAGAGGCCUACCAAGGCGACGAUCUGUAGCGGGUCUGAGAGGAUGAUCGGUCACACAGGGACUGAGACAAGGCCCAGCCUCAUACGGGAGGCAGCAGUGGGGAAUAUAGGACAAUGGGCGGACGCAUGAUCCAGCCAUGCCGCGUGUGUGAAGAAGGCAUUUUUGUUGUAAAGCACUUUAAGCGAGGAGGAGGCUACCUGGAUUAAUACUCUAGGUUAGUGGACGUUACUCGCAGAAUAAGCACCGGCUAACUCUGUGCCAGCAGCCGCCGCCGUA
rnacentral:rRNA from 1 species